rnacentral:rRNA from 1 species
UACGGAGGGAGCUAGCGUUGUUCGGAAUUACUGGGCGUAAAGCGUGCGCAGGCGGCUUCUCAAGUCAGGGGUGAAAGCCCAGAGCUCAACUCUGGAAUUGCCUUUGAGACUGAGUGGCUUGAGUACGGGAGAGGUGAGUGGAAUUCCCAGUGUAGAGGUGAAAUUCGUAGAUAUUGGGAAGAACACCGGUGGCGAAGGCGGCUCACUGGCCCGUAACUGACGCUCAUGCACGACAGCGUGGGGAUCAAACAGG